rnacentral:rRNA from 1 species
GAUGAACGCUGGCGGCGUGCCUAAUACAUGCCAGUCGAGCGAACAGACGAGGAGCUUGCUCCUCUGACGUUAGCGGCGGACGGGUGAGUAACACGUGGAUAACCUACCUAUAAGACUGGGAUAACUUCGGGAAACCGGAGCUAAUACCGGAUAAUAUAUUGAACCGCAUGGUUCAAUAGUGAAAGACGGUUUUGCUGUCACUUAUAGAUGGAUCCGCGCCGCAUUAGCUAGUUGGUAAGGUAACGGCUUACCAAGGCAACGAUGCGUAGCCGACCUGAGAGGGUGAUCGGCCACACGGGAACUGAGACACGGUCCAGACUCCUACGGGAGGCAGCAGUAGGGAAUCUUCCGCAAUGGGCGAAAGCCUGACGGAGUAACGCCGCGUGAGUGAUGAAGGUCUUCGGAUCGUAAAACUCUGUUAUUAGGGAAGAACAAAUGUGUAAGUAACUAUGCACGUCUUGACGGUACCUAAUCAGAAAGCCACGGCUAACUACGUG